GGCGGAGGACAGCCGAGCGACCGGAGUGACAGCAAAGGAAAGGCGGAGAGCAGGAGAAAGAAGCGUCUGCGCUGGCAAGCUCUCCCGGCAGCGCCGAGAGCCAGAGCUGCGGUGCUGCUGCGCCGAUGCUCCGUACGUUCGCAGUAACGGGUAGAGCGGAAGGCUCCGUGGCCAGGGAAGAGCGGCACGGACACGUUCCUGCUCGCUCCGUUGCACCGGAAUUUCGACGGCUGGGUUCGGCCGCUAAAUUGAUGGCGCUACCGGAAGAAAUUUCAGAAAAAAAGGGUGGCUUUUUCGUCGAUCUCUUUGUGAGAGUAUCAAAUCAGGCGGCGGUAAAUACGUAGAAGCAACUAGGCGUACUACGGCGUGUACCGGACAGCGUUGGCGUGCCGCUCUGCUAGCAGCGGAGAGCCAGAUGAGGAUGCCCGUGAUAUGAGAAAAGCUCUGUCCAGAGAUAUGGAGACGAAAUCAGUUGUACCUCACCCUGUGACACCGGAAGACAUUGAGUAACUCGUCCUGCAGCUGGCUCCUCGGUUUUGGCGGCAGCCUGCACGUAGCAGCCCAGCUCUCCAGCAGCCUGACGGACCGACCGUGUGUCUGUUCCACGCCGGACUGGCGAGCGUGGCUCUGGGUAGGACAGCCGAG